CAAAACGAUAAACUGGUCUUACAGAGCGACUACAGAGACGAGCACGCGGGACCGUUUUCGUACCCUGAGUUCGAGCCUCUGGUGGCGGAGGCGACCGCGUGCCCGCAGGGACGCACGGGCGGGGCAGCCGGCCGGCACAGCCUUCUGAGCCUAGUCUCGCUUACUGUAGUCACCACUGCCAGCCGUCUGCUUCUCUGAGAAAAGUCAGGCGGGAUGAUACCGAAAGGGAGAGGAGUAUUCAGAGUAUCUGAGAUACCCAGGGGGAAACGCAACUGACCGGGAGAAGCAGCAGAAGAACGCGGAAGGAAUGGGACGAACGCUUCCAGAAAUGAGGAUGGGACUUUCGACAGGAUUUCAGAUAGCCUGGCGGUGCCGCUACCUCUCCGCCAGCCCUGCGCGCAAACGUUUUUCUGCAAUUUUGGCUUAGUUGGAGGAAGGGUUCAGUUUCCUCUCUUUAACGUGACAUCCCGUGCGUGUGUACAUCAUACCUCCGAUGUGAAAUGAACUUCAUGUACGCAAGAAAGACCUUCAGCUUCUGUUGUUUUUCGGCGCUUCGAGUUCAAUGUCCCCCCGCUCAGUUAUCGACCGUCAGUAUACCAUGGUGCGCUGGUUAAACAUGAUUAUCCGUCUAGCUGAAAAGACGAGCACGCUCAACCUAACCGAUGUUUUGUCUAUCACGCACUUUAACCAGCAUCUCCAGGUACUUUGAAGGUCGAGCACUUAUCGUCAGACCUCCAGACUCAUGCUGAAAGUGUCUUCAUAUUGUUGUCUGUUUGUACUUUCUGCUGCCAUUAAAACUGCAACGGUCCAGUGACAUAGCAUAGGCAAUGUUCCAUUUCUCAGAGGCUUUAAACAAGCUGCUUCAGUGACGGUUAGAAGCCAUCAGCAACCCCGAGAAACCUGUAUUGGUCUCGCCUGUCCGUCUCUUGGACGUCAUCUGGCUAGCGCAAAAGCAUGAACAUCAGCGGCGUUAGUACCGAACUGACCAAAGUGAGAUCGGUUCUGUGGAUCAGGUUAAGGUACACCUGGGAGGUGCUUGGUGUGUAUUUGCUGCCCGUGUCACGUGACUCAGGUCGUAAUAUUAUUCUUAUUUUGCUUCGAUACCCGUUACCUGUCUUAGUGUAAAUAGUUGUAUUUGAGGAGCCUUGUUUAGCUGUGCUACUAAAGCACCCACUAACGAAGGUUCCGACCGGUGCCGGUUUGACAAUAGUCUAUGAGGUCUAUAGCGACUGUGAAUAGAUGUCAUACCUUUGUGGCAUGAUACUCUGUAGCUAGCACGAGAAGUUUCAGGGCUAAUACACUGGAUCGAGCUAACAGUCA